GGGGGGGGGGGGGGGGGGGGGGGGGGGGGGGGGGGGGGGGGGGGGGGGGGGGGGGGGGGGGGGGGGGGGGGGGGGGGGGGGGGGGGGGGGGGGGGGGGGGGGGGGGGGCACGGGGGGGGAGCCUGGGCUGCACCGACUCCUGCGCCGGCAGCCGGACGGUCCCGGGAUGUACCAACGGCGCGGGGAGAGGGGGGCGGAGCCGGAUGUAGCUGAGCCCCCGGCCCAGCCUCUACCACCGGGGCGGGGGGCGGUGCCUGAGGGGCGGCGCUUGGGGGCGGUACCACCGGCGGCGGAGGGCGGGGGUGCGGCCUGGGCAGUGGCGUCACGGCGGCGGCGCUGCGUGUUGAGACCAAAACAGUUCAGCAGGGAAAGCGAAGGCGGGUGCACGAGCGAACCCAAACAAGGCGCUCGUUCCUCACUCCCCCAGGGCCAGCAGGGUUCCAUCAUGCAUAACGCUGUCUUGGGAAACACCAUCACUCCAAAUGCCCUCCGUUCCUCCUCCUCCCCCAGAUACACGCUGAGCAUGAGGCCAUAUGGUCUGGGAUAUCCUCGGCUUUUGGACAUAGAAUCUCUCCGCUGUCGUGUAAAACAGGCUGGCUGGGCUCUGUUUCUUCAGUUUAUCAUCACUUGUAAUUUCAUAUAAUCCAGCUGUGUGGGGAGGCGGCUGAAGAAAGAGACACAGGAGAAAACCCAGAGAAAGAGUUAUCAUUGUUAUCACGGCCGUACCGCGAACGGCCGCACUGCAAACCUGCCGCUCCGCACCGCUCCCGCCGUAGCAGCCUGCGCAGUAAGAACCGUGUGAGCUCGGGGUGUUUGUCACGAAGCGCCUCGUCCGCUGCCCGGCCUUCAGCGGCACGGAGCUCGGCAGCCGCCGGGGAGCGCACCGCCCCGGCGGGCGGGGCCGGACCGCGGGGCGGGGGGGGGGGGGGGGGGGGGGGGGGGGGGGGGGGGGGGGGGGGGGGGGGGGGGGGGGGGGGGGGGGGGGGGGGG
rnacentral:lncRNA from 12 species